GACGGAGGGUGCAAGCGUUGCUCGGAAUCACUGGGCGUAAAGGGUGCGUAGGCGGGUCUUUAAGUCAGGGGUGAAAUCCUGGAGCUCAACUCCAGAACUGCCUUUGAUACUGAAGAUCUUGAGUUCGGGAGAGGUGAGUGGAACUGCGAGUGUAGAGGUGAAAUUCGUAGAUAUUCGCAAGAACACCAGUGGCGAAGGCGGCUCACUGGCCCGAUACUGACGCUGAGGCACGAAAGCGUGGGGAGCAAACAGG
rnacentral:rRNA from 1 species